GAUGAACGCUGGCGGCGUGCCUAAUACAUGCGAGUCGAGCGAACGGACGAGAAGCUUGCUUCUCUGAUGUUAGCGGCGGACGGGUGAGUAACACGUGGAUAACCUACCUAUAAGACUGGGAUAACUUCGGGAAACCGGAGCUAAUACCGGAUGAUAUUUUGAACCGCAUGGUUCAAAAGUGAAAGACGGUUUUGCUGUCACUUAUAGAUGGAUCCGCGCUGCAUUAGCUAGUUGGUAAGGUAACGGCUUACCAAGGCAACGAUGCAUAGCCGACCUGAGAGGGUGAUCGGCCACACUGGAACUGAGACACGGUCCAGACUCCUACGGGAGGCAGCAGUAGGGAAUCUUCCGCAAUGGGCGAAAGCCUGACGGAGCAACGCCGCGUGAGUGAUGAAGGUCUUCGGAUCGUAAAACUCUGUUAUUAGGGAAGAACAUAUGUGUAAGUAACUGUGCACAUCUUGACGGUACCUAAUCAGAAAGCCACGGCUAACUACGUG
rnacentral:rRNA from 1 species